rnacentral:rRNA from 1 species
AAUGAACGCUGGCGGCGCGCCUAAUACAUGCAAGUCGAGCGAGAAGACGUAGCAAUACGUUUGUAAAGCGGCGAACGGGUGAGGGAUACAUGGGUAACCUACCCUCGGGUGGGGAAUAACUAGCCGAAAGGUUAGCUAAUACCGCGUACGCUUCUUGGACUUCGGUUCAGGGAGGAAAGCGAUGCCGAGGGUAUCGCGCUCUUGGAUGGGCUCAUGUCCUAUCAGCUUGUUGGUGAGGUAACGGCUCACCGAGGCUUCGACGGGUAGCUGGUCUGAGAAGACGAUCAGCCACACUGGCACUGCGACACGGGCCAGACUCCUACGGGAGGCAGCAGUAAGGAAUAUUGCGCAAUGGGCGAAAGCCUGACGCAGCGACGCCGCGUGGGGGAUGAA